rnacentral:rRNA from 1 species
GUUUGAUCCUGGCUCAGGACGAACGCUGGCGGCGUGCCUAAUACAUGCAAGUCGAGCGGACAGAUGGGAGCUUGCUCCCUGAUGUUAGCGGCGGACGGGUGAGUAACACGUGGGUAACCUGCCUGUAAGACUGGGAUAACUCCGGGAAACCGGGGCUAAUACCGGAUGGUUGUUUGAACCGCAUGGUUCAAACAUAAAAGGUGGCUUCGGCUACCACUUACAGAUGGACCCGCGGCGCAUUAGCUAGUUGGUGAGGUAAYGGCUCACCAAGGCAACGAUGCGUAGCCGACCUGAGAGGGUGAUCGGCCACACUGGGACUGAGACACGGCCCAGACUCCUACGGGAGGCAGCAGUAGGGAAUCUUCCGCAAUGGACGAAAGUCUGACGGAGCAACGCCGCGUGAGUGAUGAAGGUUUUCGGAUCGUAAAGCUCUGUUGUUAGGGAAGAACAAGUACCGUUCGAAUAGGGCGGUACCUUGACGGUACCUAACCAGAAAGCCACGGCUAACUACGUGCCAGCAGCCGCGGUAAUACGUAGGUGGCAAGCGUUGUCCGGAAUUAUUGGGCGUAAAGGGCUCGCAGGCGGUUUCUUAAGUCUGAUGUGAAAGCCCCCGGCUCAACCGGGGAGGGUCAUUGGAAACUGGGGAACUUGAGUGCAGAAGAGGAGAGUGGAAUUCCACGUGUAGCGGUGAAAUGCGUAGAGAUGUGGAGGAACACCAGUGGCGAAGGCGACUCUCUGGUCUGUAACUGACGCUGAGGAGCGAAAGCGUGGGGAGCGAACAGGAUUAGAUACCCUGGUAGUCCACGCCGUAAACGAUGUGUGCUAAGUGUUAGGGGGUUCCGCCCCUUAGUGCUUGCAGCUAACGCAUUAAAGCA